GACGAACGCUGGCGGCGUGCUUAACACAUGCAAGUCGAACGGAAAGGCCCUGCUUUUGUGGGGUGCUCGAGUGGCGAACGGGUGAGUAACACGUGAGUAACCUGCCCUUGACUUUGGGAUAACUUCAGGAAACUGGGCUAAUACCGGAUAGGAGCUCCUGCUGCAUGGUGGGGGUUGGAAAGUUUCGGCGGUUGGGGAUGGACUCGCGGCUUAUCAGCUUGUUGGUGGGGUAGUGGCUUACCAAGGCUUUGACGGGUAGCCGGCCUGAGAGGGUGACCGGCCACAUUGGGACUGAGAUACGGCCCAGACUCCUACGGGAGGCAGCAGCGGGGAAUAUUGCACAAUGGGCGGAAGCCUGAUGCAGCAACGCCGCGUGCGGGAUGACGGCCUUCGGGUUGUAAACCGCUUUCGCCUGUGACGAAGCGUGAGUGACGGUAAUGGGUAAAGAAGCACCGGCUAACUACGUG
rnacentral:rRNA from 1 species